ensembl:lncRNA
AAACACCGAGUCAAUGAUCCCUACAUGGUUUUAAAGGAAAAAUUAUCAUGACAUUUUGGGUAAAAAAAAAAUACAACAUUUGAUAGAACUCAUUAAACUGGCUAUUUUUCAGGAAAAAAGUUUAAUAUAUGGCGGUAGGGGAUAGGUGGGAUGGUGAUUUCCAUAUAGGGCCAGCUGGAAAUAAAUAUAAAUUAACAUUAUAAAGUAAAUGGAGAAAACAUAAGCUAUAACUUUUUGUUAUUUUAUUAUUUAUAUGUAAGAUUUAUAGUUUUAAUUGUAUACUAUUUGCUACUGAUCCUAGGACCAGCUUAAGUAUGAGUUUUAAUUAUGAAGGGAAAAAGAACCUGAAGAUCCUAGGAUAAAAUUUUCUGGAGUUCCUACUGUGGGUCAGCAGUAAUGAACCCAUCUAGUAUCCAUAAGGAUUCGGGUUCAAUCCCUGGUUUUGUUCAGUGGAUUAAGGAUCCCACCAUGAGCUGUGGGCAGACCCAGCUCAGAUCUGGGCGUUUCUGUGGCUGUGGUAUAGGCCUGCAGCUACAGCUCCAAUUCAACACCUAGCCUGGGAAUUUCAUAUGCUGCAGGUGCAGCCCUAAAAGGCCAAAAUUUUUUUUUUUCCUAUUUUAACUAUAGUGUUUCAUUUUCAACUCAUAUUCACAUUGCACUUGUUUAAGACUGGACAGAUUUUCUAGUCAUAAUUGAAAAAAAUGUUCACUGUCUCAUUUUUUAUGUAAGUUAUUUUUUCCUUAUUUUUCUGACCUGCACUGGGAAAUAAAGUCUUAAGACACAAAUGCAAAGUAUAUUAUUUCUUGAUUUAUCAGGUUAUUCUGAAUUUUAAUCCUAGCUUUCAAACUAAUAAAAAUAAGCUUUCUCAUCCUCUUAUCCCACUGCAAUCUUUGUCUUUACUUGAAUUACUUCUCUGCCAACCUAGGAUCCCUCCACUCCCUAAACUCUGAUUAGCCCAUGUCCUCCCAGGAAGUCCAGUGUGAUUAACUCUAUAGAUUUCUAAUUGCUUCUUUACAUACUUUCUAAUUUACAUGCAUAAAUUACAUAAUUUCUAAAUUACAUAAUUUCUAAUUGCAUAUUUACAUACUCAGUUCGAUGUAAUUUUACAAAGGCUCCUGAAGUUUUUUUCAAGUACAUAUUUCAGUCACUUAAAAAAAAAAAAAAAGACUUAAUCUUAAAACCUUCUGUUUAAUUUUUGUCUUCUAUCCAAACCAGUACCUAAAUGCAGAAAACAUCAUAAAAAUCUCAUGACUAUGCCAUCUGUAUUUUGAAUGAGCAUACAAUAAUUUGGGUCAUUAUUAAAAUAGCAAAAGUCUAACUUAGGCCCAUAUAUUAUAUGUUCUCUCAGACUGAAACUGACUUAGUUACUGUCUACUCAUUUAAGACUGAAAGUCUUUACCACUGGAUCCCUAAGCUGUAUUUUCCUAGGAUAGUGAGAAAUGCAUUUUGCAAUAAGAGACAAAGUAUUUAAAAAUCAGGAUAGAUUACAUCCAUUAUUCUUGCCUCAACCAUCUAGGCUUUUCUCCCUGGAUCUCCCUUCAUUCAGAUUUUAUUCUGAAUGAAGCUAUGACUGUUAACCAAUACUCUAUUCUCUUCAUGGUGAUCAAGAGAUAUAUUCACAGGAUGAUUAAGGGCUAGGAUUAUAAUUUUCCUGGAUCAUUCUUUUUGUCAUUCCUUUAAUAUGUAAGUAUUUUUCCAUUAUAAAAUUACUACAGGAAUAUGUGCUUAUUGUUAGAAAUAAACCCAAGUAAUAAUACUCAAGUACGCAAAACAGUAAGAGUUCUUCAACCUUCCAGCAUCCCGCAUACACACUUUAUAUAAACUAAGGACAUAAUUUGGUACAUUAUUUUCCUGGCUAUUUCUUAAUGUAUUUAGAAAAUAUAAGGCAUAUAUUUUAUAUAUUUUUUAAUUUCAUAAAUUAUACAUAUACACAAUGUAUGCACAUAUAUAUACUUAUGAUUGAUGCACAGUAAUGUUUUAUUUUUUUUACAUGAAUGGGAUCAUACUGUGUACAUUAUUUUGUGACUUGGUUUCAACUCAGCUUACCUUAGAGAUCUUUCCAGGAUUUUAGCCUACAAGUCAAAGUUUACAUGGUUGUUAUUACCUUUUAUCUUUAAAUACUACAGGGAGUAUUUCCUAACUUUCUACCAAUAGUAUUCUAAAAUAAAUGGAUCAUUACUUUCAGUGCCAAGGAAAAUGAGUAACUCUGCUUUCUCCAUUGUAGUAUUUCUUAAUUAAAAGUAUUUUAGCAAAUUUUCAUUCAAUUUAAUGUUAUUUUUCAUCAUUCCCAAAUGUUUAAAUCUCCUAAAAGUUUGUAUUUUAUUAAAAAACUAUAUACAGGGAGUUCCCGUCGUGGCUCAGUGGUUAACGAAUCCAACUAGGAACCAUGAGGUUGCAGUAUGUGUUUUUUGCCAGGUGAUUUUCCUUUCUGUUAUGUCCAGCUACAUUAGAAGAUAAUACAUUAAUAUAUUUUAAGCCUGGUUUGCACCUUGUCUCUCUGAAGAGCUAUACUGAGUCAUUCCAACUUCUAUAAUCUUACAUGAUAUAGAAAUACCUCAAACAGAAAUGCUGAAGAGUUAGAAUCUCCAUCUUUAACUGAAUUAACUUUAGGUUAUCUAAGGAGAUUACUCAGGACCAAAUUCUAUCCUACUGAUUAUUGAGAUUGGCUUAAACAUAAAAACCUUUCUGAAAAAUGAGAUGACACAUUAUAGAUUUUUUAGCAUUUAAAAAUAUUUCUAAACUCUACAGGUCAUGAUGCACUGGCAUAAUGUUUAUAGGGUAGUAGAGUCAAUGUAAGCAUACAGUAUGAAAUGCAUUUACUUAGGACAGAUAUGAAAGUUAUAUCAUUAAUAAAACAGAAUUUAAAAAAAAACCUCUUUUCUCUAAAAGGCAGAAGAUUAAAAAUCAACAUUUGUUGGCUGGAUUAAAAAGUAUCGUAAUUCAGUAGCUGCUUUGAAGAACAACUAUAUAGUAAUUUAGGCAUCAAGAGAAUCCAAGAAGUUGUCCAUUCUUAUACUAAAAACAUUUGAGUUUAAGUAAUACUAAAAAGAGUACAUUAAAUUUAAUCCUAUAAAGGCAAUGUAGUAAUUAUAAAAUACUGUAAGACAGAGGUGCAGAAAGUAUGUGUAUAUACACCAAAGCAUUAGGCAAUAUAAACUCCCCUUUGUUUAUAGGUUUUCCAUUAUCAACAGUUAUAUAAAAAUUUUUAUAGUAAAUAUUCUCUGGGUCACAAAUUUUUGGAACCUUCAAAUUUCAUGCAAUAAAAUAUUAAAUUUAACCCCACGCAAGACAAAGGAAAUUCAGUAUUUAGAAGGCCUAAAUGUCAUUUUUGCCACACAAAGAGAAGACUGACUUUACGUAUAUUUCAUUGCAAAUUGCACACUGGUUUGGAUCUACAUUCCUUAUAAAAGAUUGGAUUUUUUGUUUGUUUUUGUCCUAAAUUUUUAGAAAAUUUCCAUCUAUCAGUAAGCUACCAAGGCCAUGAUUUUACUAAUAUUUACCAGAGUAUUUACUGACUGAUAAAAACUCUUUACUGUGACCAUGUUUUUAAUUAGAAAGUGUCAUGAAUUUACUAUAAUGGAAUAUUUUGCUGAUUAUAAUAAAAUCUUGUUUUGUCAGGAAAAACUUCCUCUUUGCAAUGUGUAGACAAUGUUACAAAGUUCACAGGACCACAGUAAGGACUGACUAGGAUUGAUAAUAUUUACCACAGUACUAGGCACUUAUAGUAAUGGUAACUAUGAUUAUUACCAAAAUAGAAGGUUAAGAAUGAAUGUGAAAGAGAUCAGAACUGACUGACCCUCAGAAGUCUAUUUAGCUUUACAAGAUACUCUACCAGAAAGACCCCUCCCUCUUUUAAAUUAUGAAUCGAUAUUAUUCCAAAAGGCAUACUUUAAGGACAGCAAAGGAAAUCCAGGAAAUCUCUCUCUCUAAUAAACCUGUAAAUUACAUAUGAAAACCAUGACAGAACUAAGAUAGUAUUCUCAGUUUUUUGAAACAUCCUUCAACUAAGAAAUUCCAAAUAACUUUACUAAAGUUAUAGAAACAAUACCACAUAAGUUAAAAACUGCAACUGAUUCCUCCAAAAUUCUCCAAAUUUAUCUACAACACAUUACAAAUUCCAAAACUCCUAAAUAGUCUAUACUAUAAUUAGUUCAUGAUAAUUAAAUCAUACUGUCAGCUUAAGCUAUGGUAGAAAAUAAUUAAAUGCUCAAAAUGUUAAUGUACAAUGUCUUCCAACAAACCAUGAAUGAUAACCUGUUAUAUGAGAUAUAAAAAUGAAAAAGUUACUUUGGAGGAAAAAAAUGUUUAAGAUUAGAGAGUUAGAUUUCUUUUUGGGGGGAAUAAUUUAAUGAGAUAUUUUAAUGAACAGUGUUGGUCAUCUUCAAGUAAAACUAUAUAGCAGUAAAAUACCAGCAGUGAUAGCCACAUGGUCUAUUUUCAUAAAAUAGUGAAAUAAUAGGUCUAAAAUUAGUGAAUUAUAUACAGAAUAGAAAUCCCUAGAAUACAGUAUUAAGUGGAAAAUUUUUCUUUGCAUUUCUCUAUUCUAAUAAAAUACAGAAAUAUUCUUCUUAAACAUGCAUUUUUCUACCUAAUGGUAUCUAUUUAGUUAAUAAAAUUUAUUUAAGUAGAAACAUCAAAUAAAGAUAUGACCAAUACACUUGUGGAAUACAGUUAAUUAAGAUCCUCUUCACAUUAAAUUGUAGGGACCAUCCUUGUUUCUCAGAUGACUAGCACAGUGCCUGACAUACAUAAGAUGCUCAAUAAAUGUUUAAUGAAUAACUAAGUACAAUCUGUUUUGCACAUACAUUCGAAAUACAGACAAGUUUGCAAAGGUACAUAAGUUGGACAUAGGCUUUCUGGCUGACUUCCUGGGGUCCCACUGAUGACUAGGAGUAAAUCUUCAUAUCCAUAGAAAACUGGAAAGUUGAUAAUUGUCUGGGUAAGGACCAAAAAAACAAAGUCAGGGAAACAUGUCACCUAAGUAACGGUUGCUUUAUAGAGCUGGUAAAAGCAGCCUAAUUAUUCCAAUAACCUAUUGUACCAGUUACUCAAUGAAAUGAAAUCUAAGUGUAUUCUGAAUGUUUGCUAGAAUCUUUUUAACAGGAAUUUUUUUGAUUAUCCUUUAUUUAAAAUAAAUCAUUUUCAUCAAGUUGUAGCCCAUACAGAAUAUGUUUUUACUUAUUAUGAAUACUAUUGGUUAACAGGAUUUAAUUUGGCUAUUCGAAAAAGGGAGAACCACAGUGAAGUUAGAAAAAAUCUUCAUAGUAGUGAAUAAAUUGUAGCAGGAAGGAAAGGAAAAAGGAUGAAAAAGAAGGAAUUCCGUAUCUGAGAGUGAAGAAAUUCAAAUAUUCCUAACUCUAAUAUCAAUUAUGACAAACAACCAGUAGGGCCUACAGUGAACUAGACAUUGUGCUAUGAGGGAACAAGAAAAAAUCUUUAGUCCUACUUAAGCAGUUCACCGAAGAAGAAUCACAAGUAAACAUUUAUAUUACAAUAUGCAUUCUUCAUACACAUAUAUAUAUAUAUAUAAAGAGAGACAGGGAAGGGGAGAGAAGGAAUGAGAGAGAAUGAAAGAGAUAGAGCUUCUUAAUACAAAAGUAAGAGAUAUAUUUACUCUUACUUGAUUAAUAAGAAGUACAAAGGAAAAAUAAGCAUUAGGGAAAGCUGAAAUAUCUCAAAAUAAUAAUAAUCCAUAUGAGAGAAAUCAGUACCUCUUAAAAACUCAACAGAUUAUUGAAUUAUAUGGACAAAACUGAGGCUUUACAGACAUCUCAUAUUCUUAGAAUGUCUUCAUUUAACCUUUAAGUGCCAUACACAGACUGUGCACAACAGUUUCAUUUCUGACAAAAAAUAAUGAGGUAGUAUGGCAAAGUGAGUAUCAAGAAUCAGAGUUCUCUUGUCUAUGUGCUGUCCGCUUACAGGCCUUGGAACUCUGGGCAAGUUCCUUGAACUCUCUGAACUUUAGCAAUAUGGAAAAUAAAGAGUUGGAUAAAGUGACAUCCAAGAUAUCACCCAGUUGAAAAUUACAAUUCUAAAAUACAUCUUAAUACUUAAAAAUAAGCCAUAAUAAAAAUACAUAGUUUUCUAAGGGUAGAUCUUCAUC